UUCUCUUUCAUCUUUCUUCUUUUCUUUGAGAAUUCAAAAAAACUUCUGUGCAUUCACCAUCAUCAUCAUCCCUUCUCUCAUCCUCUCUCUUUCUUCAUGUUUCAAUCACCAAGAACACACACAAGUGUGUGUGAGAGAAUCGUUAUUGUUAAAACCCCUUCGUGUUCAUGAAGAACACCAAGAACACACACACAAGUGUGUGAGAAAGAAGCAGGCCUGAAUCAUUCGGUUGCAUGUGUUUCUAGAGAGAGAAAGUUAUUAGAACACCAAGACCAAGAACACACACAAGUGUGUGAGAGAGAAGCAGGUCAGAAAUCAUUUGGUUCAUGGGUUUUUAGAGAGAGAAAGUUGUUAGAACGCCAAGAACACACACACACAAGUGUGUGUGAGAGAAUCAUUUUUGAAGAUCUUCAUCGUGUUCAUCAGACGGGUCUAGAUCCGGAGUGAGGAGAAUGACCAGGUCCGUGACGGGUAGGCUGGCUAAUAAGCGAAAGUAGAACGAUAAAGAAACAGAACGAUAACGAAAGAAGGUAGAUGGAGAAACCGUUGAAGAAUGGGAACAAGAAGUCGAUGAAGGGCAGGUAGUGGGUACCUUUGACGUUGUACAGAAGUUACCCUCCAGUGUAACACAUGUUACAAACAUGUGUUACAUAUGUUCAACCCCUUUGUUACCAAAAAUCGGGGCUGCACAUAUGUAAGACAUGUUUGUAACUUAUGUUACACUAGAGGGUAACACAUGUAUGAUCAUUUUUGGAUCAUUUGUAUAUAUUUAAGUCUGUAUAAACCUACAACAUUGAUACCCCCAAAAAGGUUACACAUGUUACGAUAGAAUGGGAAAUGUGUAGCAACGUUCAAUACUGUUGUUUCACUCUAUAGUGUGUAACAUGUGUGAAAUGGCGUUUGUCAGUAAAACAUAUAACUUGUAAGGUGAUACGACUGUAUCUUUAAAACAUGUUUACCUAUAAGUACUUACAUGUUACAGGUUGUAUCUUUAAAA